rnacentral:rRNA from 1 species
GGGCUAUCUGCAGUCGAGCGGACAGAAGGGAGCUUGCUCCCGGAUGUUAGCGGCGGACGGGUGAGUAACACGUGGGUAACCUGCCUGUAAGACUGGGAUAACUCCGGGAAACCGGAGCUAAUACCGGAUAGUUCCUUGAACCGCAUGGUUCAAGGAUGAAAGACGGUUUCGGCUGUCACUUACAGAUGGACCCGCGGCGCAUUAGCUAGUUGGUGAGGUAACGGCUCACCAAGGCGACGAUGCGUAGCCGACCUGAGAGGGUGAUCGGCCACACUGGGACUGAGACACGGCCCAGACUCCUACGGGAGGCAGCAGUAGGGAAUCUUCCGCAAUGGACGAAAGUCUGACGGAGCAACGCCGCGUGAGUGAUGAAGGUUUUCGGAUCGUAAAGCUCUGUUGUUAGGGAAGAACAAGUGCAAGAGUAACUGCUUGCACCUUGACGGUACCUAACCAGAAAGCCACGGCUAACUACGUGCCAGCAGCCGCGGUAAUACGUAGGUGGCAAGCGUUGUCCGGAAUUAUUGGGCGUAAAGGGCUCGCAGGCGGUUUCUUAAGUCUGAUGUGAAAGCCCCCGGCUCAACCGGGGAGGGUCAUUGGAAACUGGGAAACUUGAGUGCAGAAGAGGAGAGUGGAAUUCCACGUGUAGCGGUGAAAUGCGUAGAGAUGUGGAGGAACACCAGUGGCGAAGGCGACUCUCUGGUCUGUAACUGACGCUGAGGAGCGAAAGCGUGGGGAGCGAACUGGAUUAGAUACCCUGGUAGUCCACGCCGUAAACGAUGAGUGCUAAGUGUUAAGGGGGUUUCCGCCCCUUAGUGCUGCAGCUAACGCAUUAAGCACUCCGCCUGGCGGAGUACGGUCGCAAGAUUGAAACUCAAGUGAAUUGACGGGCGGCCGACCCAAGUGGUGGAGCAUGUUGGUUUAAUU